UACGGAGGGUGCAAGCGUUAAUCGGAAUUACUGGGCGUAAAGCGCGCGCAGGCGGUUUGUUAAGUCUGUUGUGAAAUCCCCGGGCUCAACCUGGGAAUGGCAAUGGAUACUGGCUGGCUUGAGUGUGUCAGAGGAUGGUGGAAUUCCCGGUGUAGCGGUGAAAUGCGUAGAGAUCGGGAGGAACAUCAGUGGCGAAGGCGGCCAUCUGGGACAACACUGACGCUGAAGCACGAAAGCGUGGGGAGCAAACAGG
rnacentral:rRNA from 1 species